rnacentral:rRNA from 1 species
AUCACGCUGGCGGCGUGCCUAACACAUGCAAGUCGAACGAGAAAGUGUAGCAAUACAUGAGUAAAGUGGCGACCGGGUGAGUAACACGUGACUAACCUACCCUAGAGUGGGGGAUAACCUUCCGAAAGGAGGGCUAAUACCGCAUAAACUCGCGAGGUGAGAAUCCUUGUGAGCAAAGGAGCAAUUCGCUUAUGGAGGGGGUCGCGGCUGAUUAGCUAGUUGGUGAGGUAACGGCUCACCAAGGCGAUGAUCAGUAUCCGGCCUGAGAGGGCGCACGGACACACUGGAACUGAAACACGGUCCAGACUCCUACGGGAGGCAGCAGUGGGGAAUUUUGCGCAAUGGGGGAAACCCUGACGCAGCAACGCCGCGUGGAGGAUGAAGGUCUUUGGAUUGUAAACUCCUUUCGAUCGGGACGAUUAUGACGGUACCGGAAGAAGAAGCACCGGCUAACUCUGUGCCAGCAGCCGCGGUAAUACAGAGGGUGCAAGCGUUGUUCGGAAUUAUUGGGCGUAAAGGGCGCGUAGGCGGUUCGGCAAGUCUCUAGUGAAAUCUCUGGGCUCAACUCAGAGUCUGCUGGGGAAACUGCCGGGCUCGAGUGUGGGAGAGGAGAGUGGAAUUCCCGGUGUAGCGGUGAAAUGCGUAGAUAUCUGGAGGAACACCGGUGGCGAAGGCGGCAUCCUGGACCGGCAUUGACGCUGAGGCGCGAAAGCUAGGGGAGCAAACGGGAUUAGAUACCCCGGUAGUCCUAGCCCUAAACGAUGAAUGCUUGGUGUGGCGGGUAUCGAUCCCUGCCGUGCCGAAGCUAACGCAUUAAGCAUUCCGCCUGGGGAGUACGGUCGCAAGGCUAAAACUCAAAGGAAUUGACGGGGACCCGCACAAGCAGCGGAGCAUGUGGUUCAAUUCGACGCAACGCGAAGAACCUUACCUGGGCUUGACAUGUUGGUGACAGCCGUGGAAACACGGUUUUCCUUCGGGACACCAUCACAGGUGGUGCAUGGCUGUCGUCAGCUCGUGCCGUGAGGUGUUGGGUUAAGUCCCGCAACGAGCGCAACCCCUGCCCCAUGUUGCCAGCGGAUAAUGCCGGGGACUCAUGGGGGACUGCCGGUGACAAACCGGAGGAAGGUGGGGAUGACGUCAAGUCAUCAUGCCCCUUAUGCCCAGGGCUACACACGUGCUACAGUGGCCGCCACAGAGGGUUGCGAUACCGCGAGGUGGAGCGAAUCCCUAAAAGGCGGUCUCGGUUCGGAUUGGAGGCUGAAACUCGCCUCCAUGAAGCCGGAGUUGCUAGUAAUCGCGGAUCAGCAAUGCCGCGGUGAUACA